GAUGAACGCUGGCGGCGUGCUUAACACAUGCAAGUCGAACGGUGAUGCUCCAGCUUGCUGGAGUGGAUCAGUGGCGAACGGGUGAGUAACACGUGAGCAACCUGCCCCAGACUCUGGAAUAAGCGCUGGAAACGGCGUCUAAUACUGGAUACGAAACUGGCCCGCAUGGGCAUGGUUUGGAAAGUUUUUCGGUUUGGGAUGGGCUCGCGGCCUAUCAGCUUGUUGGUGAGGUAAUGGCUCACCAAGGCGACGACGGGUAGCCGGCCUGAGAGGGCGACCGGCCACACUGGGACUGAGACACGGCCCAGACUCCUACGGGAGGCAGCAGUGGGGAAUAUUGCACAAUGGGCGAAAGCCUGAUGCAGCGACGCCGCGUGAGGGAUGACGGCCUUCGGGUUGUAAACCUCUUUCAGCAGGGAAGAAGCGAAAGUGACGGUACCUGCAGAAGAAGCACCGGCUAACUACGUG
rnacentral:rRNA from 1 species